AGGGGCUUCGUGCCUCCGGCCUGUCCUGGCCAGGGCAUCAACAGGAUAGUCUCUGGAGGCCGGGAUUCACGGAGGGUCGUCCAGGAGGAAGAAACUGCAGGUGGAGGGCCGGGCAAGCAGCGCGGGAUCCCAGGCUCAGGCCUGCAUGGACGAUGUGCCAGUAAGAUUGGGGAAGAUGCCAGGUGAUAGAAUCCACCCUGCCUCUGACAGCAUCCAAUCUGGAGCAAAGGCUUCUUUCAACCCUCCCCCAAGCUCCCAAUACAAGCCCAAAUUCUGGAACAAGUCCUUUCCAACACCUCCUUCAGAGAAGCUCCCUGGCUCCAGGCAGUGCUUGCUCCCCUCACUGCAGCAGGAAGCCUAACUUGCGAACUGCAGGUGUGCUCCAGGUGGUCACUGGAUGCAAGGUAUUGACAGAUGGAUCCCAUCGAUACCCCCACUGCAUAACCAUAGUGCAGUGAAUAGAAGACACUUCUCUGCACCCCAAAAGCUCCAUGCUGAUUGAGAGAAGGAAAUGCUGGAUGGAGGGGUUCCUGGAACUACUGUGAGGGAAAUGGUGAGAGAACUUUGGAUGUGGAACGUGGAGAGGAGGAACACGAAGUGGGGAU
rnacentral:sRNA from 1 species